rnacentral:rRNA from 1 species
UUCCUACGGGAGGCAGCAAUCGGGAAUAUUGCGCAAUGGAGGAAACUCUGACGCAGUGACGCCGCGUGCAGGAAGAAGGUUUUCGGAUUGUAAACUGCUUUAGACAGGGAAGAUAAUGACAGUACCUGUAGAAUAAGCUCCGGCUAACUACGUGCCAGCAGCCGCGGUAAUACGUAGGGAGCAAGCGUUAUCCGGAUUUAUUGGGUGUAAAGGGCGCGUAGACGGGAAUGCAAGUUAGUUGUGAAAUCCCUCGGCUUAACUGGGGAACUGCAACUAAAACUACAUUUCUUGAGUGCUGGAGAGGA